rnacentral:rRNA from 1 species
GACGAACGCUGGCGGCGUGCUUAACACAUGCAAGUCGAACGGCAAGGCCCUGCUUUUGUGGGGUGCUCGAGUGGCGAACGGGUGAGUAACACGUGAGUAACCUGCCCUUGACUUUGGGAUAACUUCAGGAAACUGGGGCUAAUACCGGAUAGGAGCUCCUGCUGCAUGGUGGGGGUUGGAAAGUUUCGGCGGUUGGGGAUGGACUCGCGGCUUAUCAGCUUGUUGGUGGGGUAGUGGCUUACCAAGGCUUUGACGGGUAGCCGGCCUGAGAGGGUGACCGGCCACAUUGGGACUGAGAGACGGCCCAGACUCCUACGGGAGGCAGCAGUGGGGAAUAUGGCACAAUGGGCGGAAGCCUGUUGCAGCAACGCCGCGUGCGGGAUGACGGCCUUCGGGUUGUAAACCGCUGUCGCCUGUGACGAAGCGUGAGUGACGGUAAUGGGUAAAGAAGCACCGGCUAACUACGUG